rnacentral:rRNA from 1 species
GAUGAACGCUGGCGGCGUGCCUAAUACAUGCAAGUCGAGCGAAUGGAUUAAGAGCUUGCUCUUAUGAAGUUAGCGGCGGACGGGUGAGUAACACGUGGGUAACCUGCCCAUAAGACUGGGAUAACUCCGGGAAACCGGGGCUAAUACCGGAUAAUAUUUUGAACUGCAUGGUUCAAAAUUGAAAGGCGGCUUCGGCUGUCACUUAUGGAUGGACCCGCGUCGCAUUAGCUAGUUGGUGAGGUAACGGCUCACCAAGGCAACGAUGCGUAGCCGACCUGAGAGGGUGAUCGGCCACACUGGGACUGAGACACGGCCCAGACUCCUACGGGAGGCAGCAGUAGGGAAUCUUCCGCAAUGGACGAAAGUCUGACGGAGCAGCGCCGCGUGAGUGAUGAAGGCUUUCGGGUCGUAAAACUCUGUUGUUAGGGAAGAACAAGUGCUAGUUGAAUAAGCUGGCACCUUGACGGUACCUAACCAGAAAGCCACGGCUAACUACGUGCCAGCAGCAGCCGCAG